GACGAACGCUGGCGGCGUGCUUAACACAUGCAAGUCGAACGGAAAGGCCCUGCUUUCGUGGUGUGCUCGAGUGGCGAACGGGUGAGUAACACGUGUGUAACCUGCCCUUGUUUUUGGGAUAACUUCAGGAAACUGGGGCUAAUACCGGAUAGGAGCUCCUGCUGCAUGGUGGGGGUUGGAAAGUUUCGGCGGUCGGGGAUGGACUCGCGGCUUAUCAGCUUGUUGGUGGGGUAGUGGCUUACCAAGGCUUUGACGGGUCGCCGGCCUGAGAGGGUGACCGGCCACAUUGGGACUGAGAUACGGCCCAGAGUCCUACGGGAGGCAGCAGUGGGGAAUAUUGCCCAAUGGGCGGAAGCCUGAUGCAGCAAUGCCGCGUGCGGGAUGACGGCCUUCGGGUUGUGAACCGCUUUCGCCUGUGACGAAGCGUGAGUGACGGUAAUGGGUAAAGAAGCACCGGCUAACUACGUG
rnacentral:rRNA from 1 species